rnacentral:rRNA from 1 species
UACGUAGGGCGCGAGCGUUGUCCGGAAUCAUUGGGCGUAAAGAGCUCGUAGGCGGCCUGUCGCGUCUGCUGUGAAAUCCCGGGGCUUAACCCCGGGCGUGCAGUGGAUACGGGCUGGCUGGAGGCAGGCAGGGGAGAACGGAAUUCCCGGUGUAGCGGUGAAAUGCGCAGAUAUCGGGAGGAACACCGGUGGCGAAGGCGGUUCUCUGGACCGAGACUGACGCUGAGGCGCGAAAGCGUGGGGAGCAAACAGG